rnacentral:lncRNA from 1 species
UGAAUAGUGUAUGCUACUAUUGGGAUGUUGACUAUAAGUAGAAGCUUCUAGGCUUCUUCUUCUUCUUCACAGCCACCACCACCACCCCCACACCACACGUUCAUGGUGUAGUGAGAGAAACCCUCCCUUUUCUCUCUCUAAAUAUCUCUCUCAUCUCUCUAGUUCUUUCGCCCAAAUUCACGGCGUUGGCGGAGAGCGAGCUUGCGAACGCGUUUGGAGCGACGGAUCGAGCUUUCGUGCGCUCGUUGGAGCGGCGUUCUUCCGUCUCGGUGUUCACUUUGGGGUAAGCUAUUGGGAUUUGUCUUAAUCCUUAGCUUUAAGUGUUCUAGUAGCCUCUAAUGAGCAUUCUUAGCAUGUUGCUCCAUUUAAUUUGGAUUAUUUGGAGGUAAUUGUAUGUUAGGGCUCAAAAAUGGGAUUUUGCAAUAUGUGAGGGUUCGAUCUAAAUUGAGCCUGUAUAAACCUAAUUGCUAGGUUUUCUGACACGCUGGCGAAGUCGGUUCGGCGAUACGACGAGGCUACGCGAAGAUAUUGAAGAAAAGGCCGAUUUCGGUACAGAUUGCCGCAGCUCGCGGCGUAAGCUUCCAAAAAUCAUGAAAUCGGAAUCGUAGCAUCGUGACAUCACCUAAAGUCUUGGAGCUAAGAGAGUUGGGGGCACGAAGGGUCGCGUGGAGUUCUCGGUGGGUUUGACCUCGCUACAAAUGAGAAAAUCUCAUUUAUGUGGAUUUAAUUAUCGUAAAAUAGAAAAUCACGCAUUUUCAUGAUAGAUGCAUUAUUGGUGAAUUUUAGAAUGCUUGAAAUGCUUAUGUUAUAUACAAUACAUUUUCGGACCUCUAUAUAGUAGAGAGUUUUCGUGUUGGGCAUUGCCCUAUGGAUAGCAUUCUUAAUUGUGGUUUUGGAUCGUAUUGCAUUUAGCGAAUAUGACAAGUAUAAAUGCACAUGUUAUAUACAAUGCAUUUUCGGAUCUCUAUGUGGUAGAGAGCUUGCAAGUGAGAUCUACGCAUGGGUUUAACAUUCUAAUUGGGACUUGGAAUCAUACUCCAUAUAUUAGACAUGGCAAAUGUAAUAUGUCUUGGACAUAAAUCUCAUUGGACAUAGGAGAUUGCAUUAGGCCAUAAAGUGGCUUCGGACUUGAAUAACUUGUGAGUUAGGGAGCUAAUGUCGUAAUGCGACAUCGAGCUUGAGCUAUGAUUGAGCCUAACAAAGUAAUGUUAUAGAGAGGCAGUAAACUUGAAUGAUAUGUGAAUUUCAUGUGCAUGUUAAUAUUAUGAGAAUUAUGCUAAGUUGGUAGUUGCAUUGGAAAGUAUAUGCAUGUAGCAUUAUGAGAAUUACGCUAUGUUGAUAGUUGCAUACGGACGCAUCGAAACCAUAUGUUAGUGGAUAGAUGCAUGUUAAUAUUUAUAUGCAUUGUGGAAUACAUGCUAAGUACAUAUUAGCAAUGUGAGAUCAUGUUAGAGAGCAUGCGUAUUAACCUAUUAUUGAUAGGGUAAGCUAAUGUCAUAAAGAGGCAUUGGGCUUGGAAUUGGUAUAUUAAGCUAAUGUCAUAAAGCGACAUUGAGUUUGGGACUUGUAUGAACCUAGUAAAUAAUGCCAUAAAGAGGCAUGAAAAUUGGAACAUGCUUGGAUAUAGUAAUGUUCUAGUGUCCUAAAGAGGCACUAGACUUAGUGAAUGUUGGAACUUCACUUCGAGACAUAGACUAGACCCUUGGGGUUACUAGUGGUUAUUCUAUGUUAGAGACAUGAUGACGAGAUCCGUGACAUGAUGACUAUGCUUGCUUGCCAUUUGUGCUCAUUCGUACAUGCUUGUGAGGGUCGCUCCCUACAAGCCGGCACUCCGGAGUUGGCCUUUGCGACGCAGUUCGCGCGUGCGGGAUUGAGACGCCUGUAGGGUCGCGUGGGACAGCCUCAUUCCAGCGUGGGAUGAUGAGCUACCACGGGCAGCUAGGCGGCGAGGCGCCUGUAGGGUCGUGUGGGACAGACUCAUUCCUAGCGUGGAAUGAUGGGCUACCACAAGCAGCUAGGCGGCACAAGCCGGACUACACUUGUGUAGGUCCUAAAAUAAGAUUGAACAAUGACAUUAAACUGGUGUAUAAUAAUCACUACUAGAUAGGCUUAGUAGUUGGUUUACUUGGACAUGCUUUUAGCAUAAUAUUGGACAUUUGGACGUGAUAGUAUUACUUGUUGCAUCAUAGCAUACUUGGUAGCCGUGAUAGAACAUAGUAUGUAUGUAUUGGCAUAUUGGAUUAGGAUAGAGUAGAUGUACUCCAUGUUCUUAUCAUAUAUACUUGUGGCAUAGCAGUAUAGCAUUUCUUUAUAUGCUUUUAUUUUCGCAGUUGUUAUUUCAUUUUCUAUAUUUGCUCAUGACUUGGGCCUAGUGGUGCAUUUUGCUAAGGUCAGUAAUUGCCCACUGGGAACUAUAAAUUAUAGUUCUCACGCCCCCUGUUUUAUGUUUUCUUUCAGAGCCUUCCACCCCGGGAGAGGCUCGGGAUCGCGGGAAAGGAAUCGCCUCGAGUUAGCUAGCGAGGAAUUCGACGAUAGGUGGUCUACCUCUCUUCUGAGUUUUGUUUGGAGAGGUUGAGAGACUUGUACCAUUUUUGUAGAGACCACCCCUUAUAUGUAGCUUGAGACUUGUGAUGUAUUAUUUUACGUUUUGCCUUGGUGGUUUAGUUUCCCUUGUUUCUACCUGUUGUUAGAACUUAGCUGUAUACUUGCUCUGAUAUCUUUAGAUACACUCUAUUUGUUGUUCAUUUAUUCGCUAUUGUUGUAGACGCCUUAUAUGUGUAGGCAUAUGGCGGGUCUGGAUACGCACCGGGCGGGCCUAGGCCGGGUCCCGGGGCGUGACAGAUUAAUUUGGUAUCAGAGCCUAGGGUUGAGUCUUAGUGGACCUAGCAAACCUUAGGCCGGUUGGACUAUAGAAAAUAGGCUCGUGAGAGACGAGGUCUAUUGAUUUGGGAGCGAAAGUAUUGUGAUUGGGUAUUGAUAUAACUCUAAAAAGCUAGAGUUUGAUCGGAGUGUAUAGCUUCUAACUUCGUGGAAGGUUACGUUGGCGGCCGACAACGUAACAUCGGGAGUUAGUAGUAAAGGACACUUCCUUACUUUCGCAUGAUUUGGGUAUUUGUUAGUUGAGCGGGGUUGCGAUAGCGUGGGUUUUAUUAACUUACGCUUUUAUAAUGUUGUAGUGAUAAUGCCGAUUACACGCUCUAAGUCUGUUGGAGCGGACAACGCGGCAACUUUUGAGGAAGUGGAGACAUCCGCUACCUCCGGAUCCGGCGAGGUCCGUGAGUUGAGGAGCCAGCUUGCGGCCCUCACCGAUUUAGUUACCCAGCAGGCGGCGGCGGCUCAGCAGCAGGCAGAUGCGGCGCGCCGGCAGGAGUCACGGAUGAAGCGCCUGGAGGAUCUUCUACUGCAACAGGCGGCUGCCAGGGAGGCUCAGGUCCCUACACCACCCGCGCCGGUAGAGGUUGUUGCGCCCAGGGUGUCGUCCCCUGCACUCGACACUUCGCGGACGACACCGGCGGUAGCACCUCGGGAGGAGGUUAUUGCGGCACCACCAGCUCAGGUGCCGUUGGCAGGGGCAGUUUUCCCCGUGAUGGUUGAGGGAGUGGAGCGGGAACGGCUCAUGGAUCGCCUCAAUGAGUUUAGGAGGUGUAGCCCCAGGAUCUUCGAUGGAGAGAGAGCCGACCACUGGAUCGUAGAGAAGUGGUUGAUGCACAUGGAGAAGUUAUUCCGCGAUACCUUUGUGGAAGAAAGAGAUAGAGUUUGGCUCGCCACUCAUCACCUGGACGGCGAGGCCUAUAGUUGGUGGUUGGAUAUCCAGGAUAACCCCAACACCGACCUUGCAGCGAUUUCUUGGAAGAGGUUCAAGGAACUCUUGUUAGAGCACUACUUUCCCGUCAGCGUUAAGAGGAAGAUGGAGCAGGAUCUGCGAGAGAUGCGCCAGGGGGAUCAGACCGUGGCCGAGUACGAGAGAGAGUUCUCUCGGCUUCUACACUGUGUGCCCUUUGUUGUGCGGGACAACGAGGACAAGGCCCGCAUCUUCGAGCGAGGACUUCGGCCUUCAAUCUUUCGGUUGGUGCAAUCCUCCAACCUCCAGACCUACCGAGAUGUGGUGAACCGCGCGCUCAUUGUGGAGGGCGGCGCGGCGGAAUUGCAGGAGCGCCGUGAGGGCUUGGAUAAAGGUAAGGGCAAGAGGCCCGCGGCUGAGGGUGCGGAUCAGACGCACUCUGGGAGGCCGCCGAGACAUCCCAGGAGCCGGAGCCAGUCGCGAGGACGUGGCUCAUCUGCACUACAUGGAGGAUCUGAUCGUCGCCAAACUCCGAGCUGCGUGAUCUGCGGUGGUCGUCAUUACCCGCGGCAGUGCUCGCAGAGUCGGGGCAGGUGCUACCUGUGUGGCCAGGAGGGUCAUUUCCAGUCGGACUGCCUGAGGGGUCCAGUUCCAGCGCCGUCAUCAGCAUCGGCACCAGCUUCACCGGGUCCCAGUCGGGGGACGACUUCUGCUCACUACCAGGCUGGGCGGCCUCUUGUCCAGAGACAGACGGAGGGGUCACGACAGGCCUCGAGCGGGCGCAUGUAUGCGGCCCAGACUGAGGAGGCGGCAAUAGCAGAGUUUGUGGCUGCAGGUACCAUUAUAUUAUUAUGGCAUUCGAGUUUAUGCAUUUUAUGAUUGAGAUGUUUGCAUCAUUUGCAUACUUUGAUCGGCUGUUUGCCGGAUUGUUUAGCAUUGAUCCUUUCCGAUGCAUGAUCGGGUGAUCGGGUGUGUCGUUUCGAACACCCUACCUUGUGAGAGGAUUUUGUGCGCCAACAAAUAGAUUGGCUUUACUUGGUGUGGAGUUCUAUAGGGUACCUUGUACCUUUGGUCUUGCGAGCUGACUUGACUCGCCUUGAGAAUUUGAGCACGAAAUAGUGCAUUUUGAGGAUUUAUUUUCGCUGGUUGUGUUGACUAUCCCCUUACCUAAAAUCGGGUAACUACUUAGGAGGAUAGUAUUUGUGGCAUGUUAGAGCAUGUCGUGUAGGACAGCGACGUCGGGUGUUGCUUGGGGGACGACCCGUGCCUGGACCAUUUGUGGACUGUGGAGCCUGGGCCCUUGAGGCAGGCUCAGUCAGCUGUGAGUAAUUGUAGCUCGAUACCUACGGGUAGGGAUGAGAUUUUGGUCAGGACGGUAGUUCGAGCUUAGACCCGGGAGUAUGGAAUGUCACGUGUUGGAUCUUGGAUAGCCAUGUGGAAUCUGAGGAUAAUGCUCUUUGGGGGACUAAAGGUGGAGAUGUGCCGGAGUGUGCCAUCUCACUGCAGAGCUAAAGUCCCUGUGGAAUUAGAGCACUCACAAGGGAGCGAUGCACCUGUGAUAUUGCUUCUAAAUAAUGCCGGUGAUCGAAUCGCAGUGUGUUCCCUAGGGAGAAGUAUGCUAAUGACCUCAAUGGCUCGAUAGGUCGAGUUGAGGUGUAAUUGAAGUUUCGAGGACGAAACUCUUUUAAGGGAUGGAGAAUGUAGCAUACCGGAUUUUAAAAUAAGGGUAUAAAUAAAAAUAGUGUGAGAUACUAUUUUUAUUGGACUUAUAGAAGUAAAAUAUAAGUCGGGGACGGCUCGUGCGGAAAUCGGAGCGAGAACAGAAGAUUUUGAAUUUUCUGUGUGAAUCGAGGCUGUUAUUUUAACAGAAAAUGCACAGUGUCAGAAAAUUCUGAAAACUGGAGGAUAAGUCAGAAUUAUUUUUAUGAGUCUAGAUUUAAAGUUUCAUAUCAUUCUGACACCCAGAAGGUGGAAAAUAAAAUCCGACAGUUAUCUGAUAAAGAUUAUAGUUCGGUACAGCUUUCGGUGACCAAACGGGGUCGAAACUGAAAGAUUAAAUUUUUUCUCGUCAAGUUAAGCAAAACCGAACAUAACUGUCAAAUUUGAACUGAAACGGAUUUUCAGAGGGCUCCGGCGAAAGAUAUCAGAUUUCGAACUGCCUGAUGUGAAUAGUGUAUGCUACUAUUGGGAUGUUGACUAUAAGUAGAAGCUUCUAGGCUUCUUCUUCUUCUUCACAGCCACCACCACCACCCCCACACCACACGUUCAUGGUGUAGUGAGAGAAACCCUCCCUUUUCUCUCUCUAAAUAUCUCUCUCAUCUCUCUAGUUCUUUCGCCCAAAUUCACGGCGUUGGCGGAGAGCGAGCUUGCGAACCGCGGUGGGCAACCGACGGAUCGAGCUUUUCGUGCGCAUCGUUGGAGCGGCGUGUUUUCGUUCGGCGUUCACAUUGGGGUAAGCUAUUGGGAUUUGUCUAAUCCUUACUUUAAGUGUUCUAGUGCCUCUAAGACAUUCUUACAGGUUCUCCCAUCUUAAUCUGGGAUUAUUUGAGAAUUGUAUGUUAAAGGGCCUCAAAAAUGGAUUUUCAAUAUGUGAGGGUUCGAUCUAAAUUGAGCCUGUAUAAACCUAAUUGCUAGGUUUUCUGACAAUCGCUGUGCGAAGUCGGUUCGCGAUACGGACGAGGCUACCCGAAAGAAUAAGUAAUACGCCGAUUUCGUACAGAUUGCCGCAGCUUCGCUGCGUAAGCUUCAAAAAUCAUGAAAUCGGAAUCGAGCAUCGUGACAUCAUCCUUUUUUAAAUCUUUGAGCUAAGAGAGUUGGUGGGCACACAGGUCGAGUGGAUGUUCUCGGGGUUUGAACCUCGCUACAAAUGAGAAAAAUCUCAUUAUGUGGAUUUAAUUCAUCGUAAAAUAGAAUUUCACGCUCAUUGAUAGAUGCAUUAUUGGUGAAUUAGAAAAUGCUGGAAUGCUUAUGUUAUAUACAAUGCAUUUUCGGACCUCUAUGUAGUAGAGAGUUU